UACGUAGGUGGCAAGCGUUGUUCGGAAUUACUGGGCGUAAAGCGCACGUAGGCGGAUUUGUAAGUCAGGGGUGAAAUCCCGGGGCUCAACCUCGGAACUGCCUUUGAUACUGCAAAUCUCGAGUCCGGAAGAGGUGAGUGGAAUUCCUAGUGUAGAGGUGAAAUUCGUAGAUAUUAGGAAGAACACCAGUGGCGAAGGCGGCUCACUGGUCCGGUACUGACGCUGAGGUGGCGAAAGCGUGGGGAGCAAACAGGG
rnacentral:rRNA from 1 species